ensembl:lncRNA
GGGCGACGGUCGACAACCUGCCACCCCAGCUCCAACCCAGGUCCAGGGCCUCCCCGCCAGGAACCUGGGGGCCCACUUGAUUCCGUACCGCUCCCAGAAGAGGUUAUUCCUGAAGGUGCGGUUAACGUCUACGUCACGGUGCUUGACGCCAGGACCGCACCGCCCGGCCCGCUCUUUUAUGCGCUGUGGGCGGGGCCGAGGGGCGGGGCCAACGUCAGGAGGCCCUGACCCGCUGGACCAACCGCCACAACUGCCGCGACCGGGCGGGCGCUGCGCGGCCCGAGGGACCGGAGCUGUUUUCUGCAGAAACCUCAUUCCGCUUGUUUCUAAAGCCAGCGGGGCUCACGAGGGACUCCCCCGUCCAAGGCCCAGAACCCCGACCGUUAACAAGGUACCGUCCAGGCCCUCUGGACCCCUCCUCCGCCUCCCCCAGAGGCCUCCCAGGUGACAGCGCUCGCCAGGCCCUGAGCCUGGUCCCGGGAGGCGGCUCCCAGGUGCGGGGCAGGCGGGGAGGGCGGCUGGGCCUCUGCUUCCUAACACCCUCUGGAGGGUCACUGCCGUUAGGCGGUAACAGGCGGGGCGGGGCGAGAAGGGGGCGGGAUGGGGUGGGCGUGGCGAGGAGAGACUCCUGUUCGCUGCCUUUCCGUCUGACAGUCACCUACUCCUCUUUUGGCGCCAGCCCGACUCAGGGGGCUCGGGCUCCCAACACCCUGACUCUAAAAACCGCCCAGGAGGAGCGUGGAGCCCCACAGCCCGACAUCUCCACCCCCCACCCUUGGGGGUGGGCCAGCGGUCCCCAGGGGCAGCCCGCCAAGCUCCUGAUAGCCUGGCCCGUAGCCCCUGCUCAGGUGGACCGGCCGCACCUGAUAUUUCCUAAUGUUCUCCGCCUUCACCUUCUCCAGGUCCCAGAGCAGAGACCAGGCCUGCCCUCGCACUGGUGGAGGGAUGCCCAUGGACACCCUUUGGCACAUCUAUGGGGGAGAAGCAGCCCUGAGACAGAUGCAGGCACCACACCGGGGAGUAGACGGAGUGAGAGGCCUGUGGAAGAUGCUGCAGAGGGGCAGGGUCUUCCUAGAGCUGGGCCUGAUCUUCCCAAACUGGGAGUGGAGAAUAGCCCAGGCUGCUCCCUCCCUGUGGGGUCCUGGGCUGGGCUGGCUGCCGCCCUGGCAUCAGAGUCUCCUGAGCCUUAUGGGGCCCAAAGGCUAGCGCCCAGCAGGGUCAGGAUACUCUGCUUUAUACCUUCUUGCUGCCCUGGUAUUUUUGCCAGCUCCUCAGCUUCUUCACCCUCUUGUCGGCUCCCCGGAGGUCCUGGGCUUUUUGCUAGAAUAUAGGACAUGGUGGUGGUGUUCUAGCUGCCAGCUCCCUAGAGUGGCCCAAAUGGGUGUGAACUCAAGGGCCCCCAGGACAGGCACAGACCCCUCGCAGACCAAGGACACUUCGACAGCUCUGGGGUGUGGAGCAGCAGGGAACCCCAGCAGCACCCAUGACCUCCUCCCUCUUCCUGCUGGUACAGCACGCGUGGAGUCUUAACCCUCACCGACUGAGUGCUGAGGUCGCAGAUACUGAAGCCCUGGAUGCGGGGACUAGGCUUGCCCAGCCGUCCUCAGCAGGCACCUAUUGCGCAUGACGUGCUUCUCAUCAGUCAUCAGCUGGAACAACCUCCAGAAGGUGUCGUCCUCGUUCAGGAACAUCAGUAGGACGGCCACGACCUCAUUCAUGCCCUGGAAGUAGCCCACCUCCUGCAAGAGCCAGAUGUGCGUGGAGGACCCCCUGGAGCCCACCUCUGCUCUUGGAUUCAUCAGCCCAUGGCCUGCCAUGGCCACCAGCGGUCACUCCUGUUCUUGACACCUUUGGGAUGUUUCUUCUCGUGGAAACCCACCCCCAGGAUGGGAAAGAGGGGCAUCCCAGUGACUCACAGCAAGGAACCUAGCCUGUUGGCGACACUGUACACUGAGAGAUCUGUAUCCUUACCUGGUUCCCGCAUCCUCCUUGUAUGGCCCAAAAGCCAGAGGGGGCUGAGAGAUGCCAGGAAAGGCAGGGCAGGACAACUCCCCACCCUGCAUCCCAGGGGCACAGCACCAGGCCUGCCUCACUCAGUGGGAUCUGCCUGGGCCUCACCUCGUACCUGGCUAGGAUCAUGCCUGGGCCACCUGGUCCCAUUUGUGGUGACCCCCACCUGAGCCAUACCCACUCAUCCUGGGGAGGAGGAUGUCCACUCAGGCUUGCUCUGCUCAGCUUUCGCUGUGACUCCUACCUGGAAUGUGAGUGCUCUUGCUGCCCAUGGUUCCCGCUGGGCUGUACCUGUGCACACAUGGCAAUGGGUCCCACCUGGGCCUCACCUGCUCCUCCUUGGCUAUGAUCCCACCAGGGACAUCCCUGCUCCUGCUGGCCAUGUGGGCUGGCAUGGCCCCCCUGGGCCUCACCUGCUGCGUGCUGACUGUGCUCCCCGCCUGAGCUGUACCUGUUCCUACUGGUAACCAUCCUUACGUGGCCUUCCAUCGUCUACCCAGGGAUGACCUCGGCCUGGCCUCCCUUGCUUAUUCUUGGCGCUGGUUCCUCCUGGGACAUACCUGAUUCUGUGGGCUAGGAUGCUCGCCUGGGCUGCAGUGAUUCCCACUUGGGAAAUGUACCUUUUCUGAUGGGUGAUGUUACCAGUUCUACCUGGCUAGGAUCCCUGCCGGGUCUCAGCUGCCUGUCCUUGGCUCAGAUCCCUGCUUGGGUGCACCUGCUCUUGUCUAUGAUCCCUGUUGGGGUCUCACCUGCUCAUAUUUUGUUAUAAUUUCUUCUCGUUCCAAGGCUAGUAGGGUCUCCAGCUUCUCCAUGUUGGAUGCUGCAAGACAAAAUCCAUGUAUUCCAGUGCCCUAAAGAGCUUCAGGGACCCAGCAAGUGGAAGUUGGCUCCCUGUUGGCAGCUUCCUGGUCAUAGAGGGAGAAAUCAGACAUUAGUGCCCCCUUAGUGCGUGGGAUCCCCUUUGGCAAUCAUGGCUUGCAUCCACACCUAAUACUUCCACUUCUAGAUUUCAGAAUGGGGUAGACCUUUCUCCAAAGUCCACCCAGCUUUAGAAAACAAGGCCAACAGGCUCAGGGGGAGCUUCCCAACCUCAUCGGCCAUCAGGGAGAUGCAAGUCAAGACCACAGGGCACACCACUUCUCACCCAUGGAAACUUUAUUCCCAAUAACAGGAUGUGGAGAGAUUGCAACUCUCCUGUACUGCAGGCAGGAAAUGGUGUCCCUACACUGUGGAUCGGUGAACGAAAUUGGGCACAAGAGACCAUAUAUUGUAUGAUUCCAUUGAUCUGAAGUGUCCAGCAUCACCAGGUCCAUAGAGACAGAAACUGGAUCGGGGGGCCCCAGGGCUGGGGGAUGGGCGAGGGGUGGGUAUCUGCUGAUGGAUAAGAGACUUUGACGAGGUGGUGACACGUGGAUGGAUAAGAGACUUUGACGAGGUGGUGACACGUGGAUGCAGUGGUGAUGGUAGCAGGAGUCUGUAAAAUAAAGACCUCUGAAUAGUCUACUUGAGCUAAAGUGGAUGAUGUGUGAAUUUCAGAGAAAGCUCUUUGAGCCGGAUUCGCCCCAGGAGCCCUGAAAGGGGCAGUGAGAGAC